CUCUCGUGUCAUGUAGGAUUCACUCAUGAGCUUAAUAGUUUUAUUGCAAUUGUGUUCAUUGGAUUUUCAAGAUUGUGUAUUAUUGUAAAAUAUACACAACAUAACUAUUUUAUCUCUUCUGCCCCCAGAUAUUCUUCUGCCCAAAUCAAAGAGAAAUCUCUUCCAGGCCACAAGUACCCACAGGUCAGGCACUAGCCAGGCCUCCAGUGACGUUCUUGCUGAGCUCCAUGCCAACCGCCCUGACACCGCAUUGCCUGUGAAGUGCACUUCUACAGCUGUUGCUGAUACAGAGACUCGUCACGUCCCCUCUGCCAGAGUGAAGAAGAAGAGCCAGGGCCGGAGGUUCAGUUACUGCCCAAAGUUGCCAACGGUCAAGAUCAAGGUGUUCAAGAGCAGAGUGGAACCAGAGAGCCACCCCGCUCAAAAGGAGCUGCCUUCGCAGCGUUUCAGCACCUCUCGAGUUGCGCUGGAUGAUGAUCAUGCUGUCCCAUUCAUUCCCCAACCUGAGGACGACCUGCCACCAGCACCUGCACAGGAGUCCCGUAAACAUCCCCUGUUGGUCAGGGUGUUCCGGGCCAUUUCCAGAGCCAUCUCGAAACCGUUCAAGGGCUGUGAUUUUUGCAAGAAGAAUUAGAAAGAUUUAGCCAUCACCAUCUAAUAAACAUAUUAGCAGCAUUGA